UUCAUGGAGAGUUUGAUCCUGGCUCAGGACGAACGCUGGCGGCGUGCCUAAUACAUGCAAGUCGAGCGGACCGACGGGAGCU
rnacentral:rRNA from 1 species